rnacentral:sRNA from 1 species
AAUAAGUUACAACCACUGUUUUCUGUGGUUUUUAUUUUAACCUCUACAUAUCGAAUUCCCAGAUAUCUUGAGUUCUUAUAUGGAUCCAAAUGAGUUUGAGAUAACAAAGUUUGACUAUAUCUCUAUUUUUGGGAGGAAUUUUAUUUUUAAGAUUAUACAUCAUAAUAUCAACAUUAAUUAUUUAUAUCUACUUACACUGGUUUAGCAAUCAAAUGAAGUGCUUUGUUUAAAACAUUUCCUGUAAAAAUUUCCUGGAUAUAGGUGGACCUUCCAAUUAGCAAUUGACAAAUAUGAUGUUAGCACUGUACAAUAACAUUAUGAGUUUAAUUUGGUUGUAAAAUGUCUGUUAAUUUACUUGCUCUUUAUGAUGACUUUAAACAACAAUGGAGUCUGCUUUACCGCAAUGUAUUUUAUCAGCUAGGAUAUUGGUGUGGAUAGAUAUACAUGCUCCAAGGGCUGUUCAUGUUUUUAAAUAAUAAUUGCUGCAGCAAUAAAAAAUGUUGUCAAACUGUU